UCCGUAGGCGGGCAAUUAAGUCAGAGGUGAAAUCCCACAGCUCAACUGUGGAACUGCCUUUGAUACUGGUUGUCUUGAGUUACAGUGAAGUAGAUAGAAUAUGUAGUGUAGCGGUGAAAUGCAUAGAUAUUACAUAGAAUACCGAUUGCGAAGCCAGUCUACUAACUGUAUACUGACGCUAAUGGACGAAAGCGUGGGGAGCGAACAGGAUUAGAUACCCUGGUAGUCC
rnacentral:rRNA from 1 species